UGUCAAACUAGAAUGAGGGAGAGGUCAGUGGAAUUAGUGGUGUAGGGGUAAAAUCCGUAGAGAUCACUAGGAAUACUCAUAGCGAAGGCGACUGACUGGAACUUUAUUGACGCUGAGGCGUGAAAGCGUGGGGAGCAAACAGGAUUAGAUACCCUGGUAGUCCACGCCCUAAACGAUGUACACUAGUUGUUGCGAUGCAAGUCAUCGCAGUAAUGCAGCUAACGCAUUAAGUGUACCGCCUGGGGAGUACGGUCGCAAGAUUAAAACUCAAAGGAAUAGACGGGGACCCGCACAAGCGGUGGAGCAUGUGGUUUAAUUCGAAGAUACGCGAAGAACCUUACCUGGACUUGACAUCCUAUAAAGGAUUUAGAGAUAGAUUUGUGCUAGUUUACUAGAAUAUAGUGACAGGUGCUGCACGGCUGUCGUCAGCUCGUGUCGUGAGAUGUUGGGUUAAGUCCCGCAACGAGCGCAACCCUCGUCGUUAGUUGCUAACAGUUCGGCUGAGCACUCUAACGAGACUGCCUGGGUAACCAGGAGGAAGGUGAGGACGACGUCAAGUCAUCAUGGCCCUUAUGUCCAGGGCUACACACGUGCUACAAUGGUUGGGACAAUGAGACGCAAUACCGCGAGGUGGAGCAAAUCUAUAAACCCAAUCUCAGUUCGGAUAGCACUCUGCAACUCGAGUGCUUGAAGCUGGAAUCGCUAGUAAUCGUAGAUCAGCAACGCUACGGUG
rnacentral:rRNA from 1 species